rnacentral:rRNA from 2 species
GGACUACACGGGUAUCUAAUCCCGUUCGCUCCCCACGCUUUCGUGCCUCAGUGUCAGAACCAGCCCAGUCACCCGUCUUCACCACCGGCAUUCCUGACGAUAUCUACGCAUUUCACCGCUCCACCGUCAGUUCUAGUGACCCCUACUGGCCUCAAGUCCGCCAGUAUCAGAAGCAGUUCCCGGGUUGAGCCCGGGGAUUUCACAACUGACUUAACGGACCACCUACGCACCCUUUAAACCCAGUGAUUCUCAGUAACGCUUGGGACCUCUGUAUUACCGCGGCGGCUGGCAC